UUAAUCGGAAUUACUGGGCGUAAAGCGUGCGCAGGCGGUUAUGCAAGACAGAGGUGAAAUCCCCGGGCUCAACCUGGGAACUGCCUUUGUGACUGCAUGGCUAGAGUACGGUAGAGGGGGAUGGAAUUCCGCGUGUAGCAGUGAAAUGCGUAGAUAUGCGGAGGAACACCGAUGGCGAAGGCAAUCCCCUGGACCUGUACUGACGCUCAUGCACGAAAGCGUGGGGAGCAAACAGGAUUAGAUACCCUGGUAGUCAAGGGCG
rnacentral:rRNA from 1 species